UAUAAACUAUAGUAGGAUUUUAGUAUUGUUAACGCCUGGAUUAUAAUUCGGUUAUGGACAUAACAUUUAAUUAAGAAUCCAUGUAAGAGAACAUUUUUUCUGCUUUAAGCAAUAGUUAGAUGACAUGAAGUGAAUUCUUACAGAAUGGGCGAAGUGAGUAAAGGUCAUAUAACUGACUUAGAAUACAAUCGCAUUGGAUGAUAAAUUGUCAACGCAAAAUCUGACGCAGGAAGUGUGUAUCGGAUGAGUGACACAACGAAGAACUAAUUAGACAUGAAUAGUCUGAGCUUCAUCUUGUGCGUGAUACUGGCCAUUUCAAGAACAUGCUUAGGAGUUACGGUAACUCUUGACGGAGAGGACGUGGACUGUAUGUUAAACUGUGCUUGCUGUAAAGGAGGUGUUACAGCAUGUGGGAAUCACUUUAAGCUUGGAAAUAAUAUCUGUUUGAAUGGCUGUGUUGAAGGAAUAUAUGGUUACAGAUGUCACAAUCCCUGUCGUGGAAAUUGUUAUACGUGUUCACAAGAAAAAGGUUUAGUUUGCUACUCGUGCAAGGAAACAUUUUAUGAUACAAAUAGUUAUUGUAACAAUACCUGUUCAGUCCGAUGUGAUUGAGGAUCCUGUAAUAAUGAUGGAACUUAUGGUUAAAAGGAAAAUAUGGUAAAAACUGCAACAGUACCUGUGACUAUAAGAACUGCCGAUGUAGUGAACCCGAUGGAUGCGAUUCUUGUAAGGCGGGAUUUUAUGAUGUGAGCACCUUCUGUUAAACACAUUGCCCUUUACAAUGUGGGAAUGGGGAUUGUAACGAUGAUGGAAGUUGCAGAAAUGUUUGUGUGAAUGGGAAUGGGGGUCACACCGAUAUGGAUAACGGAUGCCUAAACUGUUUACAAAAUAACGGGAUAUGUACAGAAUGCGCAAAGGGAGUGUAUCCAGAUGUUCAUGGCAAUUGUACAACAUGUAGUACAACUUGUAUCGAUAAUUCAUGUGAUGCAAGCAGUGGUCGAUGUAUUGCAGGAUGCGUUGAAGGAUAUUGGGGUGAAGAGUGUGAUAAACGUUGUAAUAUUCUUUGUAAGACUUGCAACAGAUUGACCGGUUAUUGUAGUAUUUGUUUACUUACAUCUUUACACGGGUUAUACUGCAAUUCAACAACUGCUGCUUCUGGAGUAAGUGUUGAAAUAACUGCAGUGAUAGGAGUCAUUGCACUCGUAAUAGGGGGAAUGACAUGUGCAUUGAUCAUAGCAGUUAUUCUGAAACUGAGGCGGAAAGUUAAGAAGAACAACCCUGAAGUAACUCUUGAACAGCGUCCGGCUGAUACAGGACAUUCGAAUAUAGGUAACUUUAUUUCAU